rnacentral:lncRNA from 1 species
AUGGGCUUAACAUAGCAAUUCUUUUCCCAAUAUAAUGGACUGUAUGAAACAUUCGAGGCCAGAAGAAGAUUAAUAGUGUUGAUGUGUAUGAUGAAGAUCCUCUCUCACUUGUCCCAAAAAAUGGAUUAAGAAAACGACCCAACAAUCAUCAUGAAAAGCAGCAUCAAAAUGGUAGAGUGGGUGUUCUUGUUGAUUUUAUAUACAGGC